rnacentral:rRNA from 1 species
CAGUAGCCGCGGGAAUACGUAGGUGGCAAGCGUUGUCCGGAAUUAUUGGGCGUAAAGGGCUCGCAGGCGGUUUCUUAAGUCUGAUGUGAAAGCCCCCGGCUCAACCGGGGAGGGUCAUUGGAAACUGGGAAACUUGAAUGCAGAAGAGGAGAGUGGAACUCCACGUGUAGCGGUGGAAUGCGUAGAGAUGUGGAGGAACACCAGUGGCGAAGGCGACUCUCUGGUCUGUAACUGACGCUGAGGAGCGAAAGCGUGGGGAGCGAACAGGAUUAGAUACCCCAGUAGUCCCUGUCUCUUAUAC